GAAUUUAAUGUGCAGGAUAUUGUGUACUUUGGACGAAUUUAAUGCUGUUAAUUAAUGUGUUUUGCUGCUGUUGUUUAAUGCUGCUGUUGUUUAAAUGCAGAAUGUUAAACAUGUCAUGGUUCAGCCGAAUUAAUGUGUGAGAUUUAAGCUAAGUAAAUUUGUUGAAUUUGCUAGGACAAUGUACAUGGACGGCAAAGAAGAGGUGGACAACAUCAUGCAUAAUUUGUGGAACAAAUUAAGGAAGCAUUUGACCAACAUCAUGCAUAAUUCAUGGAAGAAUUUGAGGAAGCAUUUGACCAACAUCAUGCAUAAUUCAUGGAAGAAUUUGAGGAAGCAUUUGGCCAACAUCAUGCAUAAUUCAUGGAAGAAUUUGAGGAAGCAUUUGACCAACAUCAUGCAUAAUUCAUGGAAGAAUUUAAGGAAGCAUUUGGCCAACAUCAUGCAUAAUUUAAGGAACAAAUUAAGGAAGCACCAUGGCCGAAUUUGGCUUCCAAUUUUACCCAUUCGGCUACCCUUUUGUUUUGCCUAUAAAUAUGUGUUAAAUUUCAUUGUAAGGGGAGAAGAACCUUGAAUUAAUGUUUUUACAUUUUGUGAGAUUGUUUACAACUCUCAUUGUUCUCCAAAGACUCGUUUGACUUAUCAAGUAACCCUUGUGGCGUCAACCCAUUCUUCUUAUCCGAACUUAUCACUUUGCAUCCAAAGUGUGGCGUUCAAGUUAUACCGAGGUUCCUAUCAUCUUUGAUAGUGGGUCAAGGUUCCAUUUUAUUCGUUUUCCAUCCAUACAACAUUUAACCUUUCCUAAGUAUUCGUAUAAGUCCCGGGUUAACACACUUAUAUUGUGUUGGUUCAACUUGAAUACCUGGUUUUCAUUCACCUAUCAUCCUCAAUACACUUCAUAACCCCUUUUGAACUAAAUUUGAGCCUUUAUCCCUUCUUUCUUAACCUAUCUUCGACAAACCUUGAUAUUACUCCAAUUCACGAUCGAGUACAUCAACGACUCGACUCUCAUCACCGAGGCCGGGGCGUAUCAUCUGGUAUCAGAGCUAGCCGAAUCGGAGUAAGAAUCAUCAUCUUUGAUAUUAUGGUUUUGUAAAAAAAAAAAUUUUGCCUACGGUCUAGGCGCGGACGAAAAGAACGUGAAAGAUCCGUAAAAAAAAUCAAAAAAAAAAUUUGCCUACGGUCUAGGCGCGGACGAAAAGAACGUGAAAGAUCCGUAUAAAAAAAAAAGAGUCUGGAAACCCUUCAACAAUUUUUUUUGAAUCAUAAUCUACACUCCUUUAUACCCCUUUGAGUGAAUUUUCAUGUUUUCAAAAAAAAAUUAUCCAAUUUAUUAUUUUUUCUUUCUUCUUUUGUAUUCGGUAUUAAAAAAAAGAGAAAUUCAAAAAAAAAAUUCAGAAUUAAAAAAAAAAGUGAUUGAAAUUCAUUUUAAGUUUUGUUUGAUAACCUACCAUUUCCGACAUCAUUGCCCACCAAGCCAACUCAAUUUUGUAAGCCGACGACAAACGGUAUUGAUUCGUCUAUCUAGUUUCUGGAGAACUUCGAGAGGCGAAAAUCGAGUGGAAAAAGGCACGAGUGGUGAGUACAUUAGAGUGAGCAAAAGCCAUUAAACAAGUGUAAACACGAGUGGAGUGUUAUCCAAUUUUCUUUGUGAGUGAAAUGUGAGAUUUUUUGUGGUGAGGUAUUUACUUUCUAUUUUAUUUUAAUCAUUUUUUUAGUAAAAAAAAAAUCAUGUCACAAGAAUUUUUCGAAUCAGAUUUCCAAUAUUUGAAGCAAGAGAUACGUAGAAUGGUGAAAUCAAAUUUUGAUAAAUUGCAUGAUCGAUUGGAUCGAGUGGAGGAAAGAGCCAGACGAAAACAAAAUCUACCAAAUCGAGAAAUGGAGUCGAGAUCAUUGCGGCGAUAUGCGUCCAAAGACUACUCGCUAAGAGAUUCUUAUCGGGAUUCCUAUUCGUCAAGGAAUUCAAGACGCGACAGCCUAGAGCUUGCAACUUCUCGACAUGACGAACGAGAGAGGACAAGUUAUUCAUCGUAUGAUUCAAAGAAGUCCUUCCCGGAGGAUUGUUCCCGAAGAAAUGGACGAGAAGCCUAUGAAAAUAUUUUCUCUUCCUUUGGGGCAAAUGAUUAUAUUUUUGAUUCUUUCGUGUCGACUGCACAUUGUAAUGAAAUCAAAAAAGUGAGAGAAAAAGAAAAUGAAGAGAAAGAAUUCGAAAAAGAAAUUGAGAUUGUACAAGAGUGCGAGCGAGAAAAAGAAAAUGAAAGAAAUGAAAAAGAGAUUGAAAAAGAAAAAGAAAUCAAAAAAGAGAGUGAGGUCGAAAAUAAAAUUGAAAACGAGAGAGGAAAUGAAAAGAGAAAAAAAGAAGUUGAGAUUAAAAAAGAAACGAGCGAAAAAGAGACAAAUGAACUAGAAAAAGUGAGGAGCAUUUCAACUAAUCCAUAUGAAACUUGUUCUUGUUCUGUUUCUACUUUUCAGGUAUCCAAAAGGCCGAGUGACGAUAAUUUACAACUCCAAUACCUUUCCAAGGAGAGAAGGUUCACCUUGGUUGAAAAAGGUAACGUUCUCAACUAUCUUAGUUCGCCUAUGCCAAAAGAGGAGCGAGGUAUGAGUUUUGAAAUUCUUAAAGCACCUCUGUUUUAUUCGAUUGUUGAUGGAAACCUUGUUGAUGAAUUGUCCUUUAGAAGUGAUCUGAACUUUGAUGUGGUUACUUGACAUCCUUUGAUUGAUGAUAAUACAUUUGCGCGGAAUGAUGGCAAGAAGAAUAACGCUUUUGGAAAUUGCGAUGCUGAUGAGUUUGUUAGUAAAAUAAUAAUUAUUCGGCAUUUGCAAGAUAAAAAGACAUAUAAGCCAUUCCAUCGGCUUGAUUUGGGUAAAAAUAUGCACUCAUUGAUCUUUUGUGAGAAACUACUUUGUAUAAAUAAGAAUGUGCGUAUGAGAUUUGAGACGUAUGAAUGCUUGAAAACAUGCAUGUCUUUGAUUUGUUUAUUUGAUAUGACGAUGACAUGUAAAAUGGUUAGUGCACUUAAAGUUGAAGAUGGUGCCUCAAAUCUGCUUUGUUAUCCAAAUUCUGCAUUUUUGAGCAAAAUUGACCGACUGAAAUUUAGAUUACAUGAUCAUUUGGAUGAGUUCUCGAUGUAUUUUGAUUAUAAUUCCAAUUUGAUUAUGAUGCAUGCUCUAUUGUCGAGUAUGGAGAUCCAUUUUGAAAAGGUUAAUUCAAGCAAGGAAUUUCGACUACUCUACAUUGCCGAGGAGAGAAGGUUUGUGUUGACCGAACAAGGUAAAACUGAUCUUUGUUUUCCUACUUUUAAAGGUAAGCCUCAUGAACUUUUUGAAACAUCGUUGUACUCUUUAGGUGGUGAUAAAGAUAGUGUUGUUGAUUUCACUCGUUAUUCACAUGCUGGUUAUGACUUGUGGAAACAAUUUGAGACAUAUGAAUGCCUUAGAACAUGUUCAUUUUUGUUUCGAAUAAUUGACGAGGCAUUAGCGAGUAAAUUAAUUUGUUUGCAUGAUUGUCAACAUGUUGCUUUGAAUCUGUCCACUCGCAUGGAAUUUUCUUGUUCUAUUCUGCUUGCAUAUGGAUUACAAAUUUAUCUGAAACACUUUUUGCUAAUUCAUGGUUAUUCCUUUCAGUUGUUCCAAUUCCAAUCCGUCCCAUUCAACCGAGGAAAGCUGAGUAAAAGUUGCUGUGUUCGAGUGAACCAAUGGCUCGACUUGAGGACAAGUCGUUCUAAAGAAGGGGGGAUGAUACGACCCUGCCCUGGAAACAUUUCUUGGCUCGACUCACGAGCGAGGCUCGUUAUUCUCACAAGCUCGUCCCAGCUCAAUUUGGGCGGAUUCUAGCUUAUGGAGCUAGAAUGCAAUUUAUUAAGUUUGCAUUUAGAUGAUGGAAUAAAUAAGUUGCUGAUUAGUUAAUUAAAUAAGUUAAUUAAUUUGUUUAAAAAUCUGGACAUUUUUAUUUUAAUGUGUCUUAGUUUAUUACCUAUUAAAUAGAUGUCUAAUAGUUAAUUAAGUGUGUCUAAAUUUAAGACAAAUUUAAUUCAUGUUGUCAAUUAAUUUUUCCAGACGAAUUUAAUGUGCAGGAUAUUGUGUACUUUGGACGAAUUUAAUGCUGUUAAUUAAUGUGUUUUGCUGCUGUUGUUUAAUGCUGCUGUUGUUUAAAUGCAGAAUGUUAAACAUGUCAUGGUUCAGCCGAAUUAAUGUGUGAGAUUUAAGCUAAGUAAAUUUGUUGAAUUUGCUAGGACAAUGUACAUGGACGGCAAAGAAGAGGUGGACAACAUCAUGCAUAAUUUGUGGAACAAAUUAAGGAAGCAUUUGACCAACAUCAUGCAUAAUUCAUGGAAGAAUUUGAGGAAGCAUUUGGCCAACAUCAUGCAUAAUUCAUGGAAGAAUUUGAGGAAGCAUUUGACCAACAUCAUGUAUAAUUCAUGGAAGAAUUUAAGGAAGCAUUUGGCCAACAUCAUGCAUAAUUUAAGGAACAAAUUGAGGAAGCACCAUGGCCGAAUUUGGCUUCCAAUUUUACCCAUUCGGCUACCCUUUUGUUUUGCCUAUAAAUAUGUGUUAAAUUUCAUUGUAAGGGGAGAAGAACCUUGAAUUAAUGUUUUUACAUUUUGUGAGAU
rnacentral:lncRNA from 1 species